UUUGAACCUAUUUCUAUUUGUAGAGAAACAUAUCUUCAAGGUUGCUGGAAAAAUUGAACAAAAUCCCACCAACCAUUCUCCAUACUUUCCAUGGCAAAGAUUGAAGUCAGCCCCACACAAUCCACAUUCCUUCACUGAAACACACCAAUAGAUUCUCCUCUCCAUCAUAUUAUUCAAGGAUUUACUGCAAUUGAUUACGGAAAAGGGAAAAUGUUAGCUUCUCGCCUCAACUCUCCAUUUCUCCAUUGUCCCCUUAAGCUUUCCUCCCCAUCCCCAUUUCCCACAAAACCCCUCAAAACGCAACGCUCUCCCUCUUCCUAUCCAUGCGUCAGAGCAGUUGAUCUUGAUCAGAGCACAAUAGUGGCAAUUACAGUUGGAGUGGUCAGUGUUGCAGUCGGGAUUGGAAUUCCUGUCUUUUAUGAGACCCAAAUUGACAGUGCUGCCAAGAGAGAAAAUACACAGGCAUGCUUCCCCUGUGAAGGCUCCGGUGCUCGUAAGUCAUUCUCAUUGUUGCCUAAAUUGAGAUUUCUAAUUGAUGUGCAAAAACAGUUGAAGGUUCCUUCUAUAUUUAGUUUGAUGGUGGCUUUAGAGAGUUAGAGAAGGUUGCAUAUUAGAUGUUGCUAUCCCAUACCAUUACGAAGUUUUCCUAACUUUGCGCGCGCACACACACACACUUGCGAUAUGAAAUAGGUUCGUGGAGAUAUUGAUCCAAUUACAAAGUGAAUGCAUGAUAUGUGCUUGUCAAUUUCGGUUCCAUAAAGUUUUAGUCGUAUGAGUUCUGAAUGCCGUAGUUGGGAAAAAGAAUUUCUCCUACGAAGGAUACGCAAAGGAAGAAAGCACUACUUGAAAUAAAAUUUGUUAUUCUUGGUUGUUCUUUUGUUCAUUGUUACUUUUGAAAAUAUAUAGUGUUAGGAAAAAUGUAUCAAAAUGUGUAUUAGAAGGCUAUCCUCCAACAAUGCUGGUGUGUUUUACCUCUGAUUUUCCUAAAUAUACUAAUAUUUACCAUAUACCGAAGCUAAAAGUUCCAUAUGGAAAUUAAUUUGUAAACAUAAUGCUAAAUUGAUAUUAGGGGCCGGCCUGACUUGUUACGCAUUGGUUUAUUAUACAAGUAAGAGCCAUGCUAUUCCAAGUCCAAACAAAAUGACAAUGCCAUUGCCUAGUUAUAUGCCCAAAAGAGGGCUCCGUAACCAGCCGCUUCAUGCACGCCCCAUUUAUUCCACCCCUAAUAAUCCAAUUCGAGACCAUGGCGAAGUAUGGCGAUUGAAUAAUUAUGAUGAUCAACGGAUAAGUAACAUAAUGCAGAGUGUGUCGGUUUCUGGAGUGUUAUUCAGUUAGCCAUACAUGAUGAUCAAUCUGUUUAAUGGGUCCGGUUUUGAAAGAAGAAGGUUUUCAAAUGUUAAUCUCUUGAUUUUCUUGUUCUCUUUUUUCCUAAUGCACUAUUGUGCGUAUUUUCGUGUUAUGCAUUAUGUAUUGAAUGAUAUGGACUAGUCUAGUACUGUUUUUUGUUAUGUAGAGGUAUCUGGCUUUCACUAGUGAUAAGUGGUCGUAAAUACAAGUAGCAAGAUGAACGGGUAUUACUCUCCUAAAAUACAACUACAUAUCUGUCUCUGUUGUAUUAAAUCUGUUGCAUGCCUUCUGCUAUAUAAGUGCACUUGUUUGUGUGUCCUUGCCAUUCUCGUACAUGCGCAGUAGCCCACGGUUUAGUAUACAUGAACCGGGUGCUUUUCCUAGAUUUGUAAUCAGCUAUACUGUAUUAUUCAAUAUUACAAAUUUUCUGCAGAAAAUGUAGAUUUUGCUUGGGUACCGGCAGUGUGUCUGUUGAGCUUGGUGGCGAUGAGAAAGAAAUUUCUCGGUGCAUCAACUGUGACGGGCUGGCUCAUUGACGUGCACCACAUGCCAGGCAGUGGAAUUCAACCUCGUUACCUUGACCGUAGAGAGUUUAAGGACGACGACUGAGUGCUGCAGAGAACAUGGCUGGUUCGGGUGAAUUCUCUAAUGCCAAAUUAACUGUGUUGAAGUUACGUGGAUAGGGCAUUGACACAUUUUUGCUCAAAUACAUAUAUAUAUUUUUGUGUAUUUUCUUGAUUUUGUGUAUUUCACUUGUUCGGCUUUUACAUGCAUUUGAUGUAUGUUAACUGAAAGCAGAUGUAGAGAACAAUGUGUGGAAAGGAGAAACUAUAUCUAUAAUAUCUUCAGUUUUUUAUGAUA